rnacentral:rRNA from 1 species
ACGAACGCUGGCGGCGCGCUUAACCCAUGCCAGUCGAACGGAAAGGCCUGCUUUCCCUUGUGGAUUGCGGGUACUCGAGUGGCGAACGGGUGAGUAACACGUGAGUGAUCUGCCCCCAACUUGGGUAUAAGCCUGGGAAACUGGGUCUAAUUCCCGAUAGGACUGCAGGGUGGUGCCUGUGGUGGAAAACGAUUUUCUAGUGGUUGGGGAUGAGCUCGCGGCCUAUCAGCUUGUUGGUGGGGUAAUGGCCUACCAAGGCGGCGACGGGUAGCCGGCCUGAGAGGGUGGACGGCCACAUUGGGACUGAGAUACGGCCCAGACUCCUACGGGAGGCAGCAGUGGGGAAUAUUGCACAAUGGGCGGAAGCCUGAUGCAGCGACGCCGCGUGGGGGAUGACGGCCUUCGGGUUGUAAACUCCUUUCGACCGCGAGGAAGCCACCUGGUUGGAAGGGUGGUGACGGUAGUGGUAGAAGAAGCACCGGCUAACUACGUG